CGUGAAAUUGUUGAAAGGGAAGCGCUUGCAACCAGACUUGCACGCUGUUGAUCAUCCAGGCUUCUGUUUGGUGCACUCAACUGUGUUCAGGCCAGCAUCGGUUUUGGUGGUGGGAUAAAGGCCUUGGGAAUGUAGCUUCUUUCGGGGAGUGUUAUAGCCCUCGGUGCAAUGCCGCCUACUGGGACCGAGGACCGCGCUUCGGCUAGGAUGCUGGCGUAAUGGUUGUAAGCGACCCGUCUUGAAACACGG
rnacentral:rRNA from 1 species